UUCUCCCUAUUUUCUUCUAUCUCUCCCAAUUGAGAGUGGGUGUCUCCAUUGCAAUUCUUGGAUUUGGAGGGUGGAAUAUUGCAUAACCAUUGCCUAGUGAGAUCGUUGCAACUUUUUCGUUUGUUACUGUUCAUGCAGAUCGACGCAUGGUGCAACCCGAUCCAUUCCGUUACGAGAAAAGCUAUACUGAGAGCUGAAGAAGAUCUCUAAAGCAUCAAAGCUUAAAGUACAUUGAAGUAUGUAGAAGACUUCAAGCAUGCAAGGUCAAUGUAAUAAAGCAUAAAGACUCUUGAGGACCAACUGCAAGAAGAAUAAGAAGACCUUAAGUGAUCCUCAAUGUAAUAGUGCACACACCAUACACAAGCACUACACUAUAUCUCAUAAGCAUGCAUUAUAUAUCAAAGAAGGUAUUUCACCUCCACACUCAUGUUUUGAUGAUGACAACAAUUUGCCUUCAAGUAUUAUUUUACAGAGACCUAAUAUUAAAGAUUGAAUUUGAUGAAGUCAUCAAAUGAAGAGUAUCAACAAGGUUGGAUCAAUUCUUGAAGAAUGUAUCAGAAGAAUUCAAACUUCAAGAUGUCAAGAUAUGAAGCUCAAAGUCAUGGAAUUGCAAACAAGAAGAAUGGAAGAAGAAGUGCUAAAACUAGAAGUCAAGAUAAAGACUUUAAGGCUCAAGUGGAGAAGAAGACAUUUAGGAUAGAAUGGUUGUUUAUAUGUAAUCUAUAAACUUCCAUAUAUAUAUGUGCACACACCUCAUACAAUGCAUAAUAUCAUACUAGAAUUACCUUAGGACAUACCUUGACCAAGUAUGAAGUCCCUAAGUGGUUAGAAACAUAUUAAGAAAAAUAUGUUUCAGUAAAAUUCUAUGAAAACCACAUUGACCUGAUUCUUUGGCA